rnacentral:misc_RNA from 1 species
GAAAUCGUGAAUUUUGUGCCACUGACGGGCUGAGUGUGUGCUUGUGUGCGUGUGUGGUGUUUGUUUACAAAAAUACAAACGCAGCUACCUGUCGGUUUUAGAUUUUUUCAUUAGAAAACUCAGUGUCAAAGAGAAUAUGAACUCAAGUCAGUUACCAUGGCAAGUGGAAAUAGUGAAGAUGCUAAAAUUGGCUCGGAUUAUGGGCAGUAUUGCUUGGAAAAUAUUCCUGCUGCUCAAGCAAAUCAAUUUGAAUUUGGAAAAGGAUAUGAUGUAUCCUUUUUUCAAGAUAUCAGGGAAAAAUAUCAAGGAAGAAAGAACAACAAUUGAAGGAGAACUCAACAUCUAACCCUUGUUCUAGGCAUUCCAAGAUAUCCCACCCGCCCAGCACUUUGGUUGGAUUUCAAGAAGCGCAAAGGGACCUGCAGCUCGAGGCGUACUUCUAUACAUGAUAUAAAAACAAAAAUAGCUAUAGAAGAUGGCAUGGAUCAUUUUACACUUUCAGCAUCCAAAAACACAAAGGAGUGGUCUACUGAUGUUGGUGGGUAUGGAAACCUUGCCAAUGAAUUCAUGCAAACUCCAGAGUGCCAUGCUGCAGUAGAUACAUGGACUAGCAUCGUAAGAAAACACCAAUUGGCGAGAGAGAAAGAUCCAGAAUGGAUUGCCCACCACAAGGAAAGCGAGAUCUAACGCAAAAAAAACGCGUGGAAACAAUGUAUGGCAAAACUUUAGGUCGUUCGACUUCAAUACGGACGGAGGCCGCAACUGCAAUUGCCAGUCAUCAAAAUAAUGGAUUCGAAAUGAUCAGAGACUUAGAUGGAGAUGUGGCCCGAUUUAGUACCCCUUCUCCUAACGAACAUGAUGUAUUGCUAGAAAGUCGUGAUCCUGGUCAUCAACAAGUAUUGCCUGAUGUUCAUGAAGAAAAUGGAUCGCAUCCAGAAACUUGGCCUAAAAAUUUUCAAUCCGCUGGAACUGAUAUUCUUGAUUCAGGGAGUGAGCAGUCUGUUUCAAAUAUUACUACGCGACCGAUGGCAACUUGUGUAGCUAUCUAUGGGUGUGAUUCAUCGAGACCGAAUUUCAGUAGGCCAAGUGGUGAGCUAGUUGGACCAACUACCACCACAGUUCCAAAUGCUUCAGGAAGCGAUGGUUACGCUUCUGCUCGCGGCAAUGUUCCACGAAAUUAACCCGCUCCAAUGCUGAUACCUACUUUAUCAUCGACCUCGUCUGAUUCUACCCAAAUUCCUUCCGUUUCUGCCAAGCCUGGGAGAUGCCCUCCAAGUGGCCGUGGUGUCACUGGCGCAAAAGGACGCAAUGGCUCGAAAAUCCUUGGUAGUUCUGCGGAGCGCCUAAUUGUGCACCCGUUAAGUGGUAUUAGUAGUAUAGGUACAGAAAAUAAUGCAAGCUCUCAGCAGGCAAAAAACAUGUUUAUUGUAGCCUACUGCUACCAGUCGACGUACCAGGCCCUGAAACCUAAUUCCAACCCACCAGAAUAUUACUUCAUAACAAGAGGAACGUUUCCACCCCAGUGAGCACGAACCAUAGGACUUCCGGAAGCGCCUCGCAUGGCUAAGUUUUAGAGACGGUUUUACUGCAAAGCAUGUAACUUACCCGUUUGCUCACCAAAGUGUUCAAAGAAUUUCUUUUACGGUGUGACAUGAUUUUAGUUUUUUUUACCAAUCAAGAUUUCAAACCAACCCAACAGUUGCAAGCUGAAGCUGUUUAUAUGUGAAUGUUGUACUUCUGUACUUUUUUAUAACUGCCAGAGCAAAGAAAAAGCUUUGUUUUAAUGUAAACAAGACACUAAGCAAGUUUUAACGUCACCAUUCUCUUGCCCUAUGUUUACGCUGUCGUCCGUCCAGCGGCGAAGUAAAAGGUAGAAGACCACAAUGCAUUCAAGAAGAUUUUAUGUAAAGAUACCGGCUGUCUGUUCAUACAAAUCGGAAGAAAAUUAAACAAAGAUAACACACUAAGCCCAGACAAGAAGAAAAAAAUGUACACUGGCGCUUGCUUUUGCGAAGGACUCGCCGGGCAGUGACGGGAUUAAUGAUGAACAUGUCUUAAGGGUGAUGACGAAGCCAUGGUAGAUUUUAAACCAACCAGUACAACCAGAAAGAAAG